rnacentral:lncRNA from 1 species
CAUCUUUCUCUCUCUCACAUUUUUCCUCUCAAUUAUUGUUGCAGACUCUCUCUUUAUCACAAUUCAAGUUCAUCAUCAUCAACCUUCUUGGUCGACGGUUAGUGUCAAUUCUAAUGUGUCUCUGAAAUCAAAGGUAUGUUUUAUAGUUUCAACAUUUGUUAUUUUGUAUAUUAUUACAUUGAUAUUGUAUUUUGAUGUUAACUAGUAUUAAGCAACCCCGCGUUGCGGCGGGGGCGAACACUAAUGCCACACUACUACCAGUGACCACUAACACUAAAGCUGCAACGUGUUAAUACGAAGAAAUUAAACCAAAACGUAAAACAUAUAAAAAAUAACUAAGUCGAUAUAGGACCCGAGCAUUACGACGAACCUGUCAAACGGAAAAAAAUAGACGACGUAAAAACAUUUAACCACACACGCAUGUUGCGCCGUGUUUAAGCAACAUGUACAACUUAUAAAUGCACACACUUGGCAACACGUACAACUUGUAAAUGUAGACACUUAUUGCUAAAUAAUAGUAUAUAAAUAAAUAAAUUAGCAUAUAUAACUACUAAAGCAACAUGUACAACUUAUAAAUACACACAUGUGUUGCAAAAUAAUAGUAUAUAAAUUGUUUUCAUCAGUUAGUGUCUUAUUUGAAGAAUCAAUAUUUUUUAUGUUUGUUUUCUUUUAGGUUUCCUUUUGAUGAUUAUAUGCAGGUUUGAAUGAUUUCAAAAUAAUAUUUUGUUUUUUUUUUUUCCUUUUAAAGUUUAGAUAUUUGUUUGCAGACUCAUUGGUUUCUUUUGAUUCCAUAAUGUUAAGAUUUUAUGAAAUAUGUUACUUUUACUAAUUUUGAAAUCUUGGUUGAAUCUAAUGUGAUCUUGAUUUUGUAUAUAUGUUUUUGUGACUUUUAUCUUAUUGGAUGUAAUUUCGGUUUUCAAGUACAAAUACUUGAAAAAGAUGCAUGAGAACUAUUCGCAUAAUAAAAAGAACAAUACCCAAUAUCGAAGAAAUCAAAGGUACCAAAUCUAUAUUGGUCUGAGUCAGUAGGGAUUGUGUUUGCACGUGAGAAAUAUGGAUUGGCUUGAGAUUGUUUUCAAAUCUAUAUAUCUAUAUCUAUCUAUCUGGAAGCAUCCUCUCUAUCCCUAUGGAUAGAGGCAAGGGCGCGAAGAUGCGGGCUAUCGUUUAGAAGAGAUUCAUGAAGAUGGAAAUAUUAUAAAUAAGAUAACCAUUGUGGUCUACAAAGAAAUUUUUAGUGAAAUUUGAAUUAUUUGUUUUUUUUAUUCUGAUGUAUUUGUUUAUUUAAAGUAUUUUAA